GAGCUAGCGUUGUUCGGAAUUACUGGGCGUAAAGCGCGCGUAGGCGGCUUUGUAAGUUAGAGGUGAAAGCCCGGGGCUCAACCCCGGAAUUGCCUUUAAGACUGCAUCGCUUGAAUCCGGGAGAGGUGAGUGGAAUUCCGAGUGUAGAGGUGAAAUUCGUAGAUAUUCGGAAGAACACCAGUGGCGAAGGCGGCUCACUGGACCGGCAUUGACGCUGAGGUGCGAAAGCGUGGGGAGCAAACAGG
rnacentral:rRNA from 1 species